CCUACGGGUGGCAGCAGUGGGGAAUAUUGGACAAUGGGGGCAACCCUGAUCCAGCCAUGCCGCGUGUGUGAAGAAGGCCCUCGGGUUGUAAAACACUUUCAGUGAGGAAGAACGCCUGGUGGUUAAUACCCAUCAGGAAAGACAUCACUCACAGAAGAAGCACCGGCUAACUCCGUGCCAGCAGCCGCGGUAAUACGGAGGGUGCGAGCGUUAAUCGGAAUUACUGGGCGUAAAGCGCGCGUAGGUGGCUUGAUAAGCCGGUUGUGAAAGCCCCGGGCUCAACCUGGGAACGGCAUCCGGAACUGUCAAGCUAGAGUGCAGGAGAGGAAGGUAGAAUUCCCGGUGUAGUGGUGAAAUGCGUAGAGAUCGGGAGGAAUACCAGUGGCGAAGGCGGCCUUCUGGACUGACACUGACACUGAGGUGCGAAAGCGUGGGUAGCAAACAGGAUUAGAUACCCGGGUAGUC
rnacentral:rRNA from 1 species